rnacentral:lncRNA from 1 species
GAACACAUAAAGAAGGCUGACAGAUUAUAUAUAUAUUCACAGCUUUGGCUUAAAGGUUUCUGGUUGACCAAUAAGUAAUACAAGAAGAAAUUGUCUUUUCUGGAAUUGUCCUUCUUUCCAGGUGAAAUCUGAUUGUGCUGAUGCUUUGGGGAAGAACAUAUCAGUAUCAAUGGUGAGCAGAAGAGGAGCAGGGAUGAUGAAAGACCACACAUUCUCCAAAAGCACUGUCCACAGAUCGAACAUUCAUAUUUUCAGAUAGUGUAAGUAAUAUGAUCAUUGAUCCUCCAUGUAUUGCCAUUUAACCCUUUACUUUAGAAUGUCAGCCUUUAUAACUGAUAUCACACACAUGUUGUAAAAUGUAGUGAAGAUAAAGGAGUGAAGUUAAACUUGCAAUGCUCUUGCUAUUAUUUGUAAAAAUGCAAUAGGUAUUGCAUAGAGUUAGUUACAAGCACAAAACUGUGCUUGUAAUAAUGCAUUAAUAAUGCAAGAUUGUGCUGACAAACAUUGCAGUCUCUGAAUAGGAGAAAUAAUAUAUUCUUUGCACCAGUAUACAAUGAUUUAGAACUUUAAUAGUGUACUGGGGAAAAAACAUGUGUCUGUAACCUGAAAUAGUUGUUUCGCCUCACUGAGUACAAAAUAUGUCACAAUUCUCUCCUAAAUGUAUUUUCUAUUUUUU